GGGGCUGUAGCUCAGUUGGGAGAGCGCCUGAAUCGCACUCAGGAGGUCAGGAGUUCGAAUCUCCUCAGCUCCA
rnacentral:tRNA from 1 species